rnacentral:rRNA from 1 species
AGAACGAACGCUGGCGGCAGGCUUAACACAUGCAAGUCGAGCGCACCGCAAGGUGAGCGGCAGACGGGUGAGUAACGCGUGGGAAUCUACCCAACCCUACGGAAUAACACAGGGAAACUUGUGCUAAAUACCGUAUACGCCCUACGGGGGAAAGAUUUAUCGGGGUUGGAUGAGCCCGCGUUGGAUUAGCUAGUUGGUGGGGUAAUGGCCUACCAAGGCGACGAUCCAUAGCUGGUCUGAGAGGAUGAUCAGCCACACUGGGACUGAGACACGGCCCAGACUCCUACGGGAGGCAGCAGUGGGGAAUAUUGGACAAUGGGCGAAAGCCUGAUCCAGCCAUGCCGCGUGAGUGAUGAAGGCCUUAGGGUUGUAAAGCUCUUUCAGUGGGGAAGAUAAUGACGGUACCCACAGAAGAAGCCCGGCUAACUCGCGCCAGCAGCCGC